AUAAACACCGUCUUUGAAAUUGAAGCAAUUUAAUUAAUUUCUUUUUCCCUCAUGAAGUCGUAUACCCUAGCCCUCGUCUGAGUUGCUUCCUUUGUCCCUCUUCGUCUUAGUCGAUUGUCUCCAUAGGCUUUCCAGCACCUCUUUGUACUACCUUUUCUCCCUCUUCGUCAUAAUCGAUCAUCGUGAGGGCUUUCCAGCACCUCUGUGGUUCUCGCGCGUGGUUGACUACCGUCUUCACUCCUCGUCUUCGAUCAAGUGAUGGUGAACCCUAAUCGUAGUAUCCUGUGAGCGUUCCUAUUUGGUUUGUCUCCUCUUCUUCGAUUUGUCAACAUCACAGUAAGCCAAUGGUUCGAUCUUGCAUUUUAAUCUCUUUUCGAUUUGUCUCACCUCGCCGUCAUUGGGUCACUACUUACUAUGGAGGCCAUGUAAGUAGUUCUUUCUCUCUACUCAAUUGCGACAUUCAUAUGGAUAUUAUUCAUUCCGCAACAUACCUUUUGUAUAUUAAUUAUAACUUUUAGAAGUUUUUGUACUCAGCAUUGGGUAAAAUAUUCAUUCAUUUUCUUUCAAUAAGAUAUUCAUUUUGCAAAUUAAAGUGGUUCACGAACCUUACCUGAGGCUCUCCUUCGGUGCUCUUGAAAACAUGGGAAAACAGAGCACACAAUUCUCUGCCCUCAACUACAUCCACCUUGCACUUGAUUUGGAUGCUAUUUUUUUUAUCAGCUAGAAAUGCUUGGAGAGCCCAUAGCAACUCUGCGUUUGCUGCACUAUGAAGGUAUUGAAUCUAUAGCACUAUGAAGGUUUGGCUCACUGCAGCAAGUUGUGUAACCAAGGAUAUCAAAGAGCUUGGGUUUAGGAGAAAAUAUCUGGUUCAGGACUAAUGUCAUCAAGGCCUGAAAUUGGAAACAAGAGCAAAACACAGAACAAUGCAGAAAAUGAAGGGUUUGCUGAAAGCCAGGGCAAUGAAGUUAUCCCUGCAGGUUUCCCCGUUGGUCCGUGGGAUGAUUCUGCAAUCAUAUCUGACAAUAUAUGACAGGUCUGAAGAGAUUUAGAGAUGAAGAUGUGAAACCAUUUUCUGGUUUAAAUGCACCUGAAAGUCAGAAUGAAAUUAGAGGCCAACAACCUUCUUCUUCUGCUUUGGCUCAUCAAUUGAGUUUGCCAAACACUUCUACAGAAAUGACAGCCAUUGAGAAGUUUCUUCAACUCUCGGAUUUUGUUCCUAGCAAAAUUCGUGCCAAGCGGGGCUGUGCCACUCACCCUAGAAGCAUUGCAGAGAGGAUUGGGUCAUUGCUGGCACAUGCUUGGAAAGUAGGACCAAAUAUUUCAUUAAUCUCUAUUGUUUGCACUGUAAGAUACCUUUCUAAGCUUUUAUAAGCUCGAAACAUUCAGACAUAUGCAAUAUAUUCAAUUUUGUACAUAAAAGGUUCAUUGGAGUAUAGUUGGAGCGGCAAUAGUAUCA